rnacentral:rRNA from 1 species
CGGGSSRGKMCGGSWKCUACCAUGCARKYSRACGAUGAUGCCCAGCUUGCUGGGUGGAUUAGUGGCGAACGGGUGAGUAACACGUGAGUAACCUGCCCCUGACUCUGGGAUAAGCGUUGGAAACGACGUCUAAUACUGGAUAUGAUCACUGGCCGCAUGGUCUGGUGGUGGAAAGAUUUUUUGGUUGGGGAUGGACUCGCGGCCUAUCAGCUUGUUGGUGAGGUAAUGGCUCACCAAGGCGACGACGGGUAGCCGGCCUGAGAGGGUGACCGGCCACACUGGGACUGAGACACGGCCCAGACUCCUACGGGAGGCAGCAGUGGGGAAUAUUGCACAAUGGGCGAAAGCCUGAUGCAGCAACGCCGCGUGAGGGAUGACGGCCUUCGGGUUGUAAACCUCUUUUAGUAGGGAAGAAGCGAAAGUGACGGUACCUGCAGAAAAAGCACCGGCUAACUACGUGCCAGCAGCCGCGGUAAUACGUAGGGUGCAAGCGUUGUCCGGAAUUAUUGGGCGUAAAGAGCUCGUAGGCGGUUUGUCGCGUCUGCUGUGAAAUCCCGAGGCUCAACCUCGGGCUUGCAGUGGGUACGGGCAGACUAGAGUGCGGUAGGGGAGAUUGGAAUUCCUGGUGUAGCGGUGGAAUGCGCAGAUAUCAGGAGGAACACCGAUGGCGAAGGCAGAUCUCUGGGCCGUAACUGACGCUGAGGAGCGAAAGCAUGGGGAGCGAACAGGAUUAGAUACCCUGGUAGUCCAUGCCGUAAACGUUGGGCGCUAGAUGUAGGGACCUUUCCACGGUUUCUGUGUCGUAGCUAACGCAUUAAGCGCCCCGCCUGGGGAGUACGGCCGCAAGGCUAAAACUCAAAGGAAUUGACGGGGGCCCGCACAAGCGGCGGAGCAUGCGGAUUAAUUCGAUGCAACGCGAAGAACCUUACCAAGGCUUGACAUACACCGGAAACGGCCAGAGAUGGUCGCCCCCUUGUGGUCGGUGUACAGKKGKKSMWKGRUUGUCGUCAGCUCGUGUCGUGAGAUGUUGGGUUAAGUCCCGCAACGAGCGCAACCCUCGUUCUAUGUUGCCAGCGGGUUAUGCCGGGGACUCAUAGGARACUGCCGGGGUCACUCGGAAGAAAGGUGGGGAUGACGUCAAUCAUCAUGCCCCUAUGUCUGGGGCUCACGCAUGCUACAAUGGCCGGUACAAGGGC